rnacentral:misc_RNA from 1 species
ACCAUCAAAGUCAGUGGUUCUAACAGCAAUAACAACACUACCGCUAUCAGUGGCCAUCAAUACCACCGCAAGGAAGGUACCAAUAAGCCUCAAUCAACGAUCACAAAUAAACAAUCGUCGGAUCAAAAGAAUAAUAACAAUGGGACUCGCAAGAGUACACAACUGCAAACACAGCCGAAGCAGCAGCAUAAGGUGAAAGAGAAGCAG